rnacentral:rRNA from 1 species
CAAUAGCGUAUAUUAAAGUUGUUGCAGUUAAAAAGCUCGUAGUUGGAUUUCGGGAUGGCCCGGCCGGUCUGCCGCAAGGUAUGUUACUGGCCGAGCUGUUCUUCUUCGCAAAGACUGUGUGUGCUCUUAACUGAGUGUGCUCAGGAUCUGUGACGUUUACUUUGAAAAAAUUAGAGUGUUCAAAGCAAGCCAGCGCUUGAAUACAUAAGCAUGGAAUAAUGGAAUAGGACUUUGGUUCUAUUUUGUUGGUUUCUGGAACCUUAGUAAUGAUUAAGAGAGACAGUUGGGGGCAUUCGUAUUUCGUUGUCAGAGGUGAAAUUCUUGGAUUUACGAAAGACGAACUACUGCGAAAGCAUUCGCCAAGAAUGUUUUCAUUAA